rnacentral:rRNA from 1 species
GCAAACCGCCGCUCCGCACGGCAAAGCCGCCCGGUGGAUGGCUCGGCUCGGGCGCCGAAGAAGGGCGUGGCAAGCUGCGAUAAGCCCGGGGUAGCCGCAGGCAGGCUUAGAACCCGGGAUCCCCGAAUGGGGCUUCCUGCCGGGGCCGAAUAGGCCCCGGCGCCCCGUAAGGGGCGGGAACGCGGGGAAAGGAAACAUCUUAGUACCCGCAGGAAGGGAAGCCAACAGGGACCCCCUGAGUAGGGGCGACCGAAAGGGGGAUAGCCCAAACCAAAUCCUCGCGGGACAACCGUGGGGAGAUGUGGGGCUUGGGCCCGGGCAACCGCCGGCGGGCGGUAGCCGAAGUGGGCUGGAAUGCCCCGCCGUAGAGGGUGAUAGCCCCGUAGGCGAAACCGCCCGUGGCGGAGUCCCGGGGUCCCGGAGUACCUCGGCUUAGUUUUGCCGGGGGAACGCGCCGGCCACUGGCCGGCAAGGCUAAGCACGUCCCGAGUCCGAUAGCGCACUAGUACCGUGAGGGAAAGCUGAAAAGAACCCCGGAAGGGGGGUGAAAAGAGCCUGAAACCGGGCGGCUACAGUGGGGCAGGCCCGAAAGGAUGCCCCCUCCCGAAGGAAACCCCGGUGACGGGGGAGUACGAGGGAGGGGGUCCAGGGUCUGCCCUUACGUCUAGAAACACGGGCCGGGGAGUUCACGGCCGUGGCGAGCCUAAGGGGUUCAACCCCGGAGGCGUAGGGAAACCGACAGCCCGCAGCGGGGCAACCCGCGAGGGGCGGGGUCUUAAAGGGCCCGUAGUCACGGCCGUGAGACCAGAAACCGGGCGAUCUAGCCCUGGGCAGGGUGAAGCGGGGCGAAAGCCCCGUGGAGGCCCGAAGGGGUUCUGAUGUGCAAAUCGUUCCCAUGACCUGGGGCUAGGGGCAAAAGACCAAUCAAGCCCGGUGAUAGCUGGUUCCCCCCGAAGCGGGUCUCAGCCCGGCCUCCCCGGAGGCGGCCGGCGGGGUAGAGUACUGAUCGGGGGUGCGGGAGCCGAAAGGCUCCGGCCCCCGGUCAAACUCCGAACCUGCCAGCGCCGUAGAAGGGGGGAGGCGGGGGCGGUGGGGUAAGCCUCCGCUCCGAGACGGGAACAACCGAGACCGGGGUUAAGGCCCCCAAGUGCGGGCUUAGUGUCAAUCUAAAAGGGCGUCCCCCGCCCAAGACAGCGGGGCCGUGGGCCUAACAGCAGCCAUCGGCUAAGCAACGCGUAACAGCGGACCCGCCGAGGCGGGGGGCCCCGAAGAUGUACAGGGACUAAGCCCGCCGCCGAGACCCCGGCCCGCGGGCCGUUGGCCCGCGUGGGGUAGGGGGGCGCGGCCGUGGGGCAGAAGCCGGGCCGUGAGGUCCGGUGGACCCGCGGCCGACGAAGAUCCCGGCGGUAGUAGCAGCGAAGAGGGGUGAGAAGCCCCUCCGCCGGAAAGGACCAGGGUUUCCUGGCAACUUCAAUAGGCCAGGAGUUAGCCGGUCCUAAGGCGGGGCCUAAUAGGCACCCGCCGAAAGGGAAACGGGUUAAUAUUCCCGUGCCGCGGGGGUAGGUUCUGCGGCAACGCAGGCCCCGUCCCCGACGCCUCGGGAUAGGGCGGGCGGGACUGCCGUCCCGCUUAACCGUCGAAGGCCGGGGAGUGCCGUAAUGGCGAGAACCGGCCGAAGGCGGGAAUAGCCGGGGGUUUCCCCGGUCCGCCCGACUCCUGGGGCCCGUGAAAAGGGGACGGGGAACGAGCCCCCGCGCCCGUACCGAGAACCGACGCAGGUGCUCCUGGGUGAGAAGCCCAAGGCGGCUCGGGUGACCCCGGGCCAGGGAACUCGGCAAAUUGGCCCCGUAACUUCGGGAGAGGGCGCGGCGGAGGAUUUAAUUUAUAGGAUCCAUCGGAAGCUGUGAGGGACGCGAGGGAGCGUUUAAAUCAACUCAUUGG